GGCAAGAUGGCCGAGUGGUCUAAGGCGCUGUGUUCAGGUGACUGCCUCCUCAUCCACGAGGAAGGUCGUUCGCUUCGCAGUCUUCGGGCGUGGGUUCAAAUCCCACUCUUGUCA
rnacentral:tRNA from 1 species